rnacentral:rRNA from 1 species
AUUGAACGCUGGCGGAAUGCUUUACACAUGCAAGUCGAACGGCAGCACGGGGCAACCUGGUGGCGAGUGGCGAACGGGUGAGUAAUACAUCGGAACGUGCCCAAUCGUGGGGGAGAACGUAGCGAAAGUUACGCGAAUACCGCAUACGAUCUACGGAUGAAAGCGGGGGAUCGCAAGACCUCGCGCGAAUGGAGCGGCCGAUGUCAGAUUAGGUAGUUGGUGGGGGAAAGGCUCACCAAGCCAACGAUCUGUAGCUGGUCUGAGAGGACGACCAGCCACACUGGGACUGAGACACGGCCCAGACUCCUACGGGAGGCAGCAGUGGGGAAUUUUGGACAAUGGGCGCAAGCCUGAUCCAGCCAUUCCGCGUGCAGGAUGAAGGCCUUCGGGUUGUAAACUGCUUUUGUACGGAACGAAACGGCUCUCUCUAAUACAGGGGGCUAAUGACGGUACCGUAAGAAUAAGCACCGGCUAACUACGUGCCAGCCGCCGCCGUAAAAC